AUACGUAGGGGGCGAGCGUUGUCCGGAAUGAUUGGGCGUAAAGGGCGCGUAGGCGGCCCGGUAAGUCUGGAGUGAAAGUCCUGUUUUUAAGAUGGGAAUUGCUUUGGAUACUGUCGGGCUUGAGUGCAGGAGAGGUAAGUGGAAUUCCCAGUGUAGCGGUGAAAUGCGUAGAGAUUGGGAGGAACACCAGUGGCGAAGGCGACUUACUGGACUGUAACUGACGCUGAGGCGCGAAAGUGUGGGGAGCAAACAGGAUUAGAUACCCUGGUAGUCCACACUGUAAACGAUGAAUGCUAGGUGUAGGGGGUAUCGACCCCUUCUGUGCCGCAGUCAACACAAUAGCAUUCCGCCUGGGGAGUACGGCCGCAAGGUUGAAACUCAAAUGAAUUGACGGGG
rnacentral:rRNA from 1 species